CUGUUCCUCUUAUUUCAAUCUAUUGUAAUCCAAAGUUAUAAUUGAUUUUUGCAAGAAAAAACUUAUAAAUUUAAAAUUAAGUAGAUAUAUAAAAGUAAGACAAAUGUCUGUGAAAAAAUAAAAAAUCUAUGGCAUUAUUUUAUUCUCUUAUGUAAAAACUAAUAAUAAUCUUACCAAUUGCCUUACUGAAGGUUUAAAUAGGACUAAUAUCUUGGAGUCAUUGAGGGU
rnacentral:lncRNA from 1 species